rnacentral:rRNA from 1 species
CCUGGUAGUGGGGGACAACGUUUCGAAAGGAACGCUAAUACCGCAUACGUCCUACGGGAGAAAGCAGGGGACCUUCGGGCCUUGCGCUAUCAGAUGAGCCUAGGUCGGAUUAGCUAGUUGGUGAGGUAAUGGCUCACCAAGGCGACGAUCCGUAACUGGUCUGAGAGGAUGAUCAGUCACACUGGAACUGAGACACGGUCCAGACUCCUACGGGAGGCAGCAGUGGGGAAUAUUGGACAAUGGGCGAAAGCCUGAUCCAGCCAUGCCGCGUGUGUGAAGAAGGUCUUCGGAUUGUAAAGCACUUUAAGUUGGGAGGAAGGGUUGUAGAUUAAUACUCUGCAAUUUUGACGUUACCGACAGAAUAAGCACCGGCUAACUCUGUGCCAGCAGCCGCGGUAAUACAGAGGGUGCAAGCGUUAAUCGGAAUUACUGGGCGUAAAGCGCGCGUAG